rnacentral:rRNA from 1 species
UCCGAUCUUGAACGCUAGCGACAGGCCUAACACAUGCAAGUCGAGGGGCAUCACGAGGUAGCAAUACUUUGGUGGCGACCGGCGCACGGGUGCGUAACGCGUAUGUAACCUACCUAUAACAGGGGCAUAACACUGAGAAAUUGGUACUAAUUCCCCAUAAUAUUCGGAGAGGCAUCUCUCCGGGUUGAAAACUCCGGUGGUUAUAGAUGGACAUGCGUUGUAUUAGCUAGUUGGUGAGGUAACGGCUCACCAAGGCAACGAUACAUAGGGGGACUGAGAGGUUAACCCCCCACAUUGGUACUGAGACACGGACCAAACUCCUACGGGAGGCAGCAGUGAGGAAUAUUGGUCAAUGGACGCAAGUCUGAACCAGCCAUGCCGCGUGCAGGAUGACGGCUCUAUGAGUUGUAAACUGCUUUUGUACGAGGGUAAACGCAGAUACGUGUAUCUGUCUGAAAGUAUCGUACGAAUAAGGAUCGGCUAACUCCGUGCCAGCAGCCGCGGUAAUACGGAGGAUUCAAGCGUUAUCCGGAUUUAUUGGGUUUAAAGGGUGCGUAGGCGGUUUGAUAAGUUAGAGGUGAAAUUUCGGGGCUCAACCCUGAACGUGCCUCUAAUACUGUUGAGCUAGAGAGUAGUUGCGGUAGGCGGAAUGUAUGGUGUAGCGGUGAAAUGCUUAGAGAUCAUACAGAACACCGAUUGCGAAGGCAGCUUACCAAACUAUAUCUGACGUUGAGGCACGAAAGCGUGGGGAGCAAACAGGAUUAGAUACCCUGGUAGUCCACGCAGUAAACGAUGAUAACUCGUUGUCGGCGAUACACAGUCGGUGACUAAGCGAAAGCGAUAAGUUAUCCACCUGGGGAGUACGUUCGCAAGAAUGAAACUCAAAGGAAUUGACGGGGGCCCGCACAAGCGGAGGAACAUGUG